AUUGAACGCUGGCGGCAUGCUUUACACAUGCAAGUCGAGCGGUAACAGGCCGCAAGGUGCUGACGAGUGGCGAACGGGUGAGUAAUGCAUCGGAACGUGCCCAGUCGUGGGGGAUAACUACUCGAAAGAGUAGCUAAUACCGCAUACGAUCUAUGGAUGAAAGCGGGGGACCGUAAGGCCUCGCGCGAUUGGAGCGGCCGAUGUCAGAUUAGGUAGUUGGUGGGGUAAGGGCUCACCAAGCCAACGAUCUGUAGCUGGUCUGAGAGGACGACCAGCCACACUGGGACUGAGACACGGCCCAGACUCCUACGGGAGGCAGCAGUGGGGAAUUUUGGACAAUGGGCGCAAGCCUGAUCCAGCAAUGCCGCGUGCAGGAAGAAGGCCUUCGGGUUGUAAACUGCUUUUGUACGGAACGAAACGGCUCUGGUUAAUACCCGGGGCUAAUGACGGUACCGUAAGAAUAAGCACCGGCUAACUACGUG
rnacentral:rRNA from 1 species